rfam:Triticum aestivum genome assembly, contig: Triticum_aestivum_CS42_TGACv1_scaffold_592626_7BS
CAUCUACUCCCUCCGUCCGGGAAUACUUGUCAUCAAAAUAAAUAAAAGGGGACGUAUCUAGAUGCAUUUUAGCUCUAGGUACAUCCCUUUUUAUCCAUUUUGAUGACAGGUAUUUUCGGACGGAGGGAGUAUUGA